rnacentral:rRNA from 1 species
GAUGAACGCUGGCGGCGUGCCUAAUACAUGCAAGUCGAGCGAACAGACGAGGAGCUUGCUCCUCUGACGUUAGCGGCGGACGGGUGAGUAACACGUGGAUAACCUACCUAUAAGACUGGGAUAACUUCGGGAAACCGGAGCUAAUACCGGAUAAUAUAUUGAACCGCAUGGUUCAAUAGUGAAAGACGGUUUUGCUGUCACUUAUAGAUGGAUCCGCGCCGCAUUAGCUAGUUGGUAAGGUAACGGCAUACCAAGGCAACGAUGCGUAGCCGACCUGAGAGGGUGAUCGGCCACACUGGAACUGAGACACGGUCCAGACUCCUACGGGAGGCAGCAGUAGGGAAUCUUCCGCAAUGGGCGAAAGCCUGACGGAGCAACGCCGCGUGAGUGAUGAAGGUCUUCGGAUCGUAAAACUCUGUUAUUAGGGAAGAACAAAUGUGUAGGUAACUAUGCACGUCUUGACGGUACCUAAUCAGAAAGCCACGGCUAACUACGUG